rnacentral:rRNA from 1 species
GGCAAGCGUUGCUCGGAAUUACUGGGCGUAAAGGGCGCGUAGGCGGGAUGGCAAGUCGGUCGUGAAAUCCCUCGGCUCAACUGAGGAUCGUCGAUCGAUACUGCCGUUCUUGAGGAUUGCAGAGGAGACUGGAAUUCCCGGUGUAGCGGUGAAAUGUGUAGAGAUCGGGAGGAACACCGGUGGCGAAGGCGGGUCUCUGGGCAAUUCCUGACGCUCAUGCACGAAAGCGUGGGGAGCAAACAGG